rnacentral:rRNA from 1 species
UCCUUCGGGUGAGCGAACUUUCAUGAUGCUACGCUUCCAAGAAAAGCUUCUAGGGCUAAUUGCAUAGGUGCCUGUACCGACAACCGACACAGGUGGUCAAGGAGAGUAUCCUAAGGUGAGCGAGAGAACUAUGGUUAAGGAACUCGGCAAAAUGACCCCGUAACUUCGGGAGAAGGGGUGGUCUAGCGAUAGACCCGCAGUGAAUAGGCCCAGGCAACUGUUUACCAAAAACACAGGUCUCUGCUAACACGUAAGUGGAUGUAUAGGGGCUGACGCCUGCCCAGUGCUGGAAGGUUAAAGAGAUUAGUUAGUAUGACGCAAGUCGAUAAUACAAAGCUUUGAACUGAAGCCCCAGUGAACGGCGGCCGUAACUAUAACGGUCCUAAGGUAGCGAAAUUCCUUGUCAGGUAAGUUCUGACCCGCACGAAAGGCGUAAUGAUCUGGGUACUGUCUCAACCAUAGACUCGGUGAAAUCUUAAUACCUGUGAAAAUGCAGGUUACCCGCGACUGGACGGAAAGACCCCGUGGAGCUUUACUGUAGCUUGAUAUUGGAAUUCGGUAAACUAUGUAGAGCAUAGGUGGGAGACUAUGAGACUAAGGCGCCAGCCUUAGAGGAGUCACCAUUGGAAUACCACCCUUAGUUUAUUGGAUUUCUAACCUAGAGCCAUUAUCUGGUUCAGGGACAGUGUCUGGUGGGCAGUUUGACUGGGGCGGUCGCCUCCUAAAAUGUAACGGAGGCGUUCAAAGGUUCCCUCAGAAUGGUUGGAAAUCAUUCAAAGAGCGUAAAGGUAUAUAGGGAGCUUGACUGCGAGACCUACAAGUCAAGCAGGUGCGAAAGCAGGACUUAGUGAUCAGGCGAUUCAGAAUGGAAUGGUCGUCGCUUAACGGAUAAAAGUUACCCCGGGGAUAACAGGCUGAUACCACCCAAUAGUUCACAUAGACGGUGGUGUUUGGCACCUCGAUGUCGGCUCGUCAUAUCCUGGAGGUGGAGUCGCUUCCAAGGGUUGGGCUGUUCGCCCAUUAAAAUGGCACGCGAGCUGGGUUCAGAACGUCGUGAGACAGUUCGGUCCCUAUCCGUCGUGGGCGCAGGAAAAUUGAGGAGAGCUAUCCUUAGUACGAGAGGACCGGGAUGGACCUACCUCUGGUGUAUCUGUUGUCACGCCAGUGGCAGUGCAGAGUAGCUAUGUAGGGAAGGGAUAAACGCUGAAAGCAUCUAAGCGUGAAGCCCUCUCCAAGAUGAGUUUUCCCAUUGUUUAACAAGUAAAAUCCCAGAUAGACUAACUGGUUGAUAGGCUAGAAGUGGAAGUGUAGCGAUACAUUGAGCGGACUAGUACUAAUAGAUUGAGGAUUUAAUCCC